rnacentral:lncRNA from 1 species
GCGAGGUGUUCUAUCAAUUGACCAAACCGAGCCAAGUCUGAGCCUGGAUGAUGGUCACGUACUUUCCUUCCUCAAGUCACCAAAAGCAACGUCGGCCGAACAGGCGAAGAGGAAGAUGCCACAUAAGGAUUCUUGCGUUCCAAAUGGUAUGUUCAUUUUUGCCAAUUCAUGAUCCAUCGUUACAUGACUCCAGUCGACUCAGCUCACAGUGAUUGAUGAUUGAUCAAUAGCAACAACAUUUGAUUCUCAAAUUACAAGUUGAUUUCGCUGCUAUGCAUUGCAUUAAAUCUGAUUUUUGAUAUUUGUUAGUCAGUUUCAGGUUCACGGCCAGGAUGGCGGAUUCAUUCUUCGAUGGCCAGACUAUCCAUGUCAAGUGGCGGCAUGAGAAGAGCAUCGGCAAGGUCGUCAUGUGCCGGUGCAUCUCACUUUCAAGCACAUGCUGCAGAGUCUGGUUGACGGUGUCCUAGACUAGGGAGUACUCACCACGUCAUCUCCCGAUCUGUUAAAUUGGGCCGAGAACCCCAUGGACGUAUACUCAUGGGCCAGUACGGGCAGCUGUCACAUACAAGGAAGAUUCCACAAGACUUGGCGAUCAAGACAAGGACUCCUCCCCCACCGGCGUAUUCGGCUAGGACUCUUGUUCUCCUAGGCCUCUGGUGCAUUAUAUAAACCGAGGCCAGGCUAGUCGAUAGAGAUAUACAACAAUCAUACCAUAGGCUAGCUUCUAGGGUUUAGCCUCUCUGAUCUCGUGGUAGAUCUACUCUUGUACUACCUAUAUCAUCAAUAUUAAUCAAGCAGGAGUAGGGUUUUACCUCCACCGAGAGGGCCCGAACCUGGGUAAAAAUAUCGUGUCCCUUGUCUGCUGUUACCAUCCGCCUAGACGCACAGUUCGGGACCCCCUACCAGAGAUCCGCCGGUUUUGACACCGACAUUGGUGCUUUCAUUGAGAGUUCUGUUGUGUGUUCGGCAAAAGGUCGAUGGCUCGCCUGCAGAUCAACUGCGACUUCGGCAUCUUCGUCACCAGCUCGACUGGUCACCUUGGUUCGACCUAGGACUGUGCCCUACCUCCAAUCGCCAUGUUCGGAUGAGGGCCUUCAUCAACAUCAGCUCCGAUCUCUAUCAAGAUCAGGGAGGAAUCAUCCAGGGAGCCCGGGGCUCAACGUCAACAUUGCCCUCGGGCGACCGUGCUGUUUUUCUAGACAGCGCACUUGUAUCCGCCGUCACCGCCUCUUAGAGCGUCAGUUUGACGAUUGCUUCGGUGGAAUAGUGCAGAAUUACGUCUAAAACAGCCACGCUAAAUUUCGUCGAGUUUCGAUGGAGGAAUCUCCGACAAUCUACGAUAUACCGGAACCUUGUCAAAUCCGGACGAGAAUCUGGAUGAGUUUAGGGCGUGGUGUCCAGCUUCUAGCUCAGACCUCCUUUGGAAGAUCCAACCGUUGAUCGACUGCGGAAUUCCUAUAUCUACCACCCCUCAAAAUUUCAGCUCGAUCCGACCGUCCAAACUCCGGGAACCUUACGAUUAGUGCAUCACUUUUCGGAUCUGUUUUCUGCGCGAAAACAAAUCCGACCCGAGUUCGUCCUUUUUACGAAUGGGAUUUCAGACGUCCUUUUUGAAGAAAGUUUAGUAUGGGGAAUUGUGUUUUGUUCCCAAACACAUCCCACUAACUUUAAAAUCUUUUGAACAUGAUCGUUAACAUCAUGCUGGUGUCAAACCAGUCCGGCAAUAUUGCUCCACGGCUGCCGACCUGCGCUAGACACGUCGUCACUUUGUUGAGUCGAGCUCAACUUCUUCGGAUCAUCAUCUUGGCAAGCUGAACAAGAGUCCAGCAUCGCGAAGGAUAAAUCAUCACCAACAUCACCACCCCACGGAUUACACGGAGCGGGCAUACCGUCAUCGCCGCACGGUCGCUUCAUCAAGCCGGCAUCGACCACGUCACGACCUGCAUCGGCAGGGCCGCACUAUUGCUUCUUCAAGGUGGUGUCCAUCACACCGACCUACUAUGACUUCUCGGUUGGACCGGGGGCUUCACCAUCUCUUCAUCAACCUACUCCGGAUACUUCGGCGUCACUAGCCGACCAGCUCCGUCACGUUAGCUGGACCGAGGGCUUUGCCUCGGCGAGCCAACCUUUGCCAGCAUUGCCAUGCCGUCGUUUUAUCGCCCAUCAGGCAAUGGGUGCGCGGAUCGAGUCCCAAUUUUGGGAAUCACCUUCCUUCGGAUUGCUACAACAAAUAAACCAGGUGCUAUUAAUCCCAGUAUUUUACUUGUUUGGGUUCAUUUUUCCCAAGGAAUUAUUACUCUGGUUUGUCCAUCAUAUGUACACAGGUCUAUCAAAUGGUGGCCGCAUUAACGACAGUCGCAUGGUGGUUCGGUCAGUUUCCGUACAUAGUCCGGCGAACGCCGCAUACGGAGCUCGGAUCGACCUGUGAAUUCAGGCGUUGCCACGCCUUUACCGCAUCACGCCGAUGACCUGCAUCGACAUUGACUUCGGCGCCAGGCCAUAUUUCUUUUAUUACUCACUUUGCAUAAAUUAUUUAUUAUGCAACGAUUUUUUUAAUUAUCAUUAUUACUAUUAUCUCCGGUUUGCACCAUUUUUUAUGCACAGAAAAAUGAUCUGGGGACUUCGGCGUCACUCUGCCGGUCUGCAUUGACCGUGCUAUGUCACCACUUCGGCAUGUCGAGCUCUCCGCUCCGCCACCUCGAGACCGGCUUGGGGGAUGGAACCUUGUCCCGUAUCAAGCUCGGACCGCGUCAUCAAUACUGAACACAUUAACCAGCUAAGUCGCUUUCAUGCUCAAAGCUUUAAUUUCUAACUUGUGUUCGGUUCGACCAAGCAUUAUUCUUUUUUGAAAAAAUGUUGCUUGUAAAAAAUAUCUUGUCCAAACUUUGUUUGUGACGCAUAAAUUCAAAUACCCAAUUCAUUUGGGGGCUUCCUUCAUGAAGCUUUUCCUUUUGCAUAUGAUUAUACUUGUACGGCUUCGUUCCUUGUUCGUGUAUUACGCCAUAAUAUGCACCAUAUUGACUUAAGCGAUUUGCAAGCUGGGUUGCCUCGCUCCUGUGUUUACCCCUAUGUUCCCGAUUGUUCGGCUAGGGAGUAAAGGGAGCACCUCUGCGAUUGUCACGAUAGGGUCAUCCGAGCCGGACCUCAGACUGGGAGAAGCCGAAAGCUAGCACUCUUAUAGUUUUCAAUGAUGGUCGGCACACAACGGAAGUCAUGAGUACAAAAAAUCUAUUGCACAAGUCUCAUAAUAACAAUGAGCACCGAAAAAAGGUAUCGGUGGGGGUACUAUUUUCUUCAAAGAUGCUUCUUACACUUCGCUGUAAUAUAGCAUAAGUUCCCUGAGCGCGCUUUGUCUGUUACAGCCUUAUGGCCUGAUCACCUGGUUAUUGGAAACACCGUCGAUAUUCUCGACAUGUGGAGUACAUAACACUUUACGGUCCUUGAACAAAGAGGGAGAAGCCGACGGUCGGUUAAGACGCGUUUAAAGUUCGAUUGAACAUAGAUAUGAUAUAAGUACUUCAGUACAUGCAAUCAUUCUUUUACCCAAGUCACUUGGGGGCUCUUAAAUUUAUAUGAGUCGUUUUAUGAUAAGUGUUCUUCUUCUUAGUCGUUGCAAAGUUUUAUUAUUAUUAUUAUAUCUAUCACUCCUUUUUUCGACACGAGCGUGUGGUCACUAGCCGGGGAGCCUAAUUUCUCUCCCAAAGCCGCUAGAGUUUAGUUUGCUAAAUUGGCCUAAUGAGAAGUACUCCGCCCUCGGGAUAGGAGGUUGAAGCCGUAGGCUGACCCGCUUGACGUCUUGAGAUAGGAUGUAUCAUGUUAAAACACGACGGAAGCACUUAUUUUGCUAAGGCCAAUUUUCGGAUUGGCACCGAACACUUGAUCUCGUUCGGACGUCAAGUUUUUACUGAUGUUUUUUGGUUUUCCAAGCUUAUGGCACUUUUUAAACUAUUUGUGUGUUUUCAGCACAAGUCUCGCAGUGCAACGCCGGACACCUUUAGAGAUUCGGCAAAAACAUUCUCGGAUAUUGCUAUAUAUGCAUCGGUUUUGAAUUGUGUCUUUGGUCAAUAGUUGGGUUGCCCGGCUCCUGCGCUUGCCUCCUACGUUCCGCUUUGUUUGGCUAGGUGUGCAAAGGGAGAACCACUGCGAUUGUGCUUCCAGCUCACAUGGUUAAGCACCUCAGUGGAGAAAGCCGAAAACUGACUGUCACAAUAAGCGUAAACUAGCCAGCGAUCCGAUGACGGUGUUAAACGACGGGCCAUUCAUAACAAUGGCCGAAGUGUUUACGGCUUGACCUCGACUGUCGCUGAACACUACCGGGGGCUAUUAAUUGGCCUCCCAAACUAAAUCCUCGAUAUUUUGCUCUUACAUUGGAGCUGAGGUUUCAUGAUCAUUCUUAGCAUGACAACCCAAAGAAAGGAACCGAUAGCGGUACUAUUUUCUUCAGAAGACAUUUGUUCUAUUAAACAGUAAUUUAACAUAUCACUCUGCGUACCUUUGUUUAUAAAACCGUAUGGCCAAAUUGCCUUGUUUGUGGUAAAUCUUUGCCCUCAUAAAGGCUUUAUAUAGUAGGACAAACACUCCUCGGCUAUUGGCCGAGGAGGUGGAAGCCGAUGGUCGGUCAACAAAGUUUUGUACAAUGCGGAUCCGAGCAUUAAUCACGUAAAGUACUUGGAUACAUAGAGUCAUUACACAUAAUUUGUGAUUUUAUUAUGGAUAUCAAUCCUUAAUUCGGCCACCCGUGCCCGCAUUAAGGCUCAGGGGCUACUGGGCUUUGGGCUCAUUAUUUACAAAUAUUAAAGGGGCACAUCGAUCCCGUGAUCUGGUGUUGCCACCCGACCAGUGUCUCGGGGGCUACUGCAUUGCCUGUCCAAUGCAGAAAAUUUUAAGUGUAAUACAGUCUCCGAGGAGAUUUUGAUCCUCAGAUUGGUCGGCCUCACCCAACCUGAGUCUUGAGGAUUGAGCACGCCGCUUUUUGUGUCCCGAAGUAUUCUGCCGAGCUAGGACUUGAUCCUUAGACCAAUUUUAUAAAUCAACCUGAGUCUCAGCGGCUACGGGGAUCAGUGAUCUUAUGUCAUCCUUCAUGUGCAUCUCGGGUUUUAGACCGAUACCCACCUUGAGGUCUACUGACUAUGUAUCUCGGCAAAGAAUAAAUUCCACCAAUCAAAAAUAUUGACAAAAAUCGGCCCACAUUUGGGGUGGUGCACCACCUCGGAAGCAGUCCGGCUUAAAGCUCGGGCGCUAGUGGCUGGCGCCAUAGAGGGCAUUUCCGGCAUUAAGCUCGGCUAAACUCCUUCAAACUUCUUUGAACCAAGGUGAUUUACGACACCUCGGAUACAGUCCGACGUUGGAGCUCGGAUACAUAAUCCAGCGUUGGAGCUCGGAUACAGUCCGGCGUUGGAGCUCGGAUACAUAGCCCGGCGUUGGAGCUCGGAUACAUUCCAGCGUCAGAGCUGGGAAGCGGUCCGGCACUGGUGCUCGGCUGCAAAAAAUACCUCGAAUGCGGUCCGACGUUGGAGCUCAGACGCAAGAGGACACUGCCACCCGGGAACAACUUCAAACCCGAGGUGUGGCAUAAAAAUAACAAGGCAUUGAUAAAGUCCAGAAACUUAAAGGGGCUCCUCGGAUACCCGACGUGUAAACUCGUCGAAUGCAUUUCGGCGAUCCUCAAGAUCGAAGAUGAGAAGAUUUGUUGAACCAGUUUUCAAGACCGACGACUGAAGAUGAAGAACGGUUCGGAAGAAUCGAGGAGCGUCCCUAAACUUGAAGAAUGGUUCAGGGGGCUACUGACGGUGUCCUGGACUAGGGGGUACUCACCACGUCAUCUCCCGAUCUGUUAAAUUGGGCCGAGGACCCCCAUGGCCGUAUACUCAUGGGCCAGUCCGAACAGCUUCCGCAUACAAGGAAGAUUCCGCAAGACUUGGCGAUCAAGACAAGGACUCCUCCCCCACUGACGUAUUCGGCUAGGACACUUGUUAUCCUAGGCCUCUGGUGCAUUAUAUAAACCAAGGCCAGGCUAGUCGAUAGAGAUAUACAACAAUCAUACCAUAGGCUAGCUUCUAGGGUUUAGCCUCUCUGAUCUCGUGGUAGAUCUACUUUUGUACUACCCAUAUCAUCAAUAUUAAUCAUGUAGGAGUAGGAUUUUAGCUCCACCGAGAGGGCCCGAACCUGGGUAAAAACAUCGUGUCCCUUGUCUCCUGUUACGAUCCGCCUAGACGGACAGUUCGGGACCCCCUACCCGAGAUCCGCCGGUUUUGACACCGACACUAGUGUUGUGGCUUCAUUCCCUCUCAGUCCUGUUUUUAUUUACUCUCCCUUGUUUACUGUUUGCCUUAAUCUUGAUUUGUUUUUGCCUGUUCAUGAAGUUCAUUAGUUCUUUCUUUGCUGGAUGUUUGGCGCGUUGAUGCUGCAUGGAAGCACUGGAAGCAAAAAAACAACAACUUCACAUACCUUCCUGUAAGUGCAUCUCCCCGUCUUAAUUUGGGUUGCUCUCGCUGUCUCGCUUACCUGCUCUGCUUCACCCAUCGUUCAGAGUUAGCUUCAUGAGAUCAAAUAAUGUACUGCCAUUUAUUUUACCCAACUGCUACAUUGAAGAUCGAGGAGUACAAGUGUGUAUUAAUCUGAAAACAAAGUGUUACAACUUUCGUUUUGAACUUAUCUGUGCAAGUGGAUAAAGUGGUCAUAUAUCGGCCUGCACUUUUGGACCAAAACCAGUUUUACAUGGGCUCCGGAGGAAAACGAAACCCCACCUGGACUUUUAGCUUUCCGUAUAUGUGUGAUCACUUGCUGAGUUUUCCCACAUCAUAGCUUUUAUUAUGAAUUCGUGGGAUUUUAUAUUUUAAUCAGGUCUCGCAGUUUUGAGUUUUAAUUCGUGUGCAAUACUCACAAACAAAUAUGUCUUGCAUUCAAAAUAUUACAGGUUUUAACUUAUUUACAUUUUAGUUAAAUUUUGUUCACCAAUGUGAGCCAGUGUGAGAGCAAAGUUUUCCUCUGACUAUUCUAAAUUUUCCUUGGACUAUUCUGAAUCUGUAAAUGGAACAUGAAUUCUUAAUACAUCUAUGCCAUCUAUAGAAAAAGAUGACCUCAUGCUACUGUGCAACACCACGACGAUGAACUUCACCCAGUGAACACUGAACAAGUCUCAAAUCAAUAUGCAUUUGCGAUUUGUGAUUCUGUCCUAUUUUAGGGUUGUAUCUCUUCUAUAAUCUUUGGUAAUUUUGUAGAUUAGGUAUUUUAAUUCUUUUCCUAUGAUAGUUUAGUAGUAGUCAAGAUAUGAGAUUUGCAUGUCCAUUUUACUGUAUAUAUCUGUUUUUACACUUCUAUUAUAGGUCUGAGAGUAUUAUGCCCGUUCAAGAAGUAGAAAACCGAGCCUCUCCAGCAAAUUUUUCAAUAUUAAGGGGGAAACCUGAAGGUGUAUAAGUUAAACACAAAUCUCUAUAUACAUUCAGCAAUAAGUUUUCUUUAUACAUUCCAUUAUAAUUACACAUGGGAAAUACAGAUGAGGUGCCUGAUGUUAGCUGCAAUCACAGAUCUAAGAAUCACCUUUUUAAAUGUGAUUGAUAAAAUUAUCAAAGAGUAACUGUGUGACCCACUACGUAGAAAGUGUAAGAACGACACACCUAGAAUUAACCUUGAAUGUUAUCAAGUUUAGAUAUUACCAUUAUUGUAUAUAUAUUCAAGCAGUGUGCUGUAGAGGUUUGUGAAGCAGUAGUGGAUAGAUUUUAUUUAGCAUGGUUCAAAUCACCAUUGCAUGAAAUAAGAACAUACCCAUUACUUAUGUAAAAUCCUUUAGGAGAGGAAAGGACGUUUACCAGACUGAACUUGUUAUUCUGCGAACUUAUGUUGACACAAACUAUUGAUUGGGUCUCUGGCUUGGUGCUACCUGUAUAAGAUACCCCCUUAUGGUGUUGUUGGUGCCAUUUUUAUUGGCCUGCUGGUACUGUGUACAUAUUCAGUUAAUCACGUAGAGUUAUAGGAAUAUAGGCAAGACUGAAAUAUGUGUUCAUCUGGAAGCCUACAGACAAAAAUAUGUGUCCAUCUGGAAGCCUAUAGACACUAAACAAUAUUUUAGUGAUCUUGGAUGCUAUCACCUACAUAGGCUUUUUUCCCGCAAUAGUGUGCUUCCAGUUUUUUUUCAUGGAUGGUCAGAUAGUAUUUCACCUAGCUCUUCCAGUUUGUUGGUUCAUGGAAGGCCAGAUGGUAUCUCACCUAGUUGGCCUGCUUUCAAGUAUCAGUUUGCUAGAUAGGCAAAUGCCUCUGCAAUUUUCGCUAGCACUUAUAAUACAUCAAUUGGUUUCUUAUUGUUGAAAUUUGAAGACCUAUGAAAUAGAAGAAUGUCUUUUUUAUAAGAUGCAUAUACUUAGAGGCUUAUAGUUGAGUAUUUUCUAAUGCGGUGCAAAUUUUGUGUUCUUCUUAUGGCCCAUGGUCAUAUGUAAAGUAUUCCAAUACAUUACCACAGAUCAGUUUUUUUAUUCUUCACGUAACACAUGUUCAUGUCCAAUCAGGGAUGGAUUCAAGUGGUGCUGGGACAUGUACAGAGAUGGAGCUCAUUAUAUAUGGAGACAGGUUUUGAAUGGGGUUUGAUUCGGAUGUAAAUUGCACUACAGACUACAUCACAAAGACAAACUCAGCUGGAGAAUCAAUACCUUAGUUCUAAGAAGAUAACGAAACUAGAUGUAUCUUUUCUUGUAUGAAUUACUUUGCCAUGAAUCAAGUCUUGGACGACUUACCAGAUAUUUUUAGAAAACUAAAUAGCUUAUCAAUCCUUAUAGAGCGGCG